rnacentral:rRNA from 1 species
AGUCGAGCGGCAGCGGGAAGUAGCUUGCUACUUUUGCCGGCGAGCGGCGGACGGGUGAGUAAUGCCUGGGGAUCUGCCCAGUCGAGGGGGAUAACAGUUGGAAACGACUGCUAAUACCGCAUACGCCCUACGGGGGAAAGGAGGGGACCUUCGGGCCUUUCGCGAUUGGAUGAACCCAGGUGGGAUUAGCUAGUUGGUGGGGUAAUGGCUCACCAAGGCGACGAUCCCUAGCUGGUCUGAGAGGAUGAUCAGCCACACUGGAACUGAGACACGGUCCAGACUCCUACGGGAGGCAGCAGUGGGGAAUAUUGCACAAUGGGGGAAACCCUGAUGCAGCCAUGCCGCGUGUGUGAAGAAGGCCUUCGGGUUGUAAAGCACUUUCAGCGAGGAGGAAAGGUUGGCGCCUAAUACGUGUCAACUGUGACGUUACUCGCAGAAGAAGCACCGGCUAACUCCGUGCCAGCGGCCGCGGUAAUACGGAGGGUGCAAGCGUUAAUCGGAAUUACUGGGCGUAAAGCGCACGCAGGCGGUUGGAUAAGUUAGAUGUGAGAGCCCCGGGCUCAACCUGGGAAUUGCAUUUAAAACUGUCCAGCUAGAGUCUUGUAGAGGGGGGUAGAAUUCCAGGUGUAGCGGUGAAAUGCGUAGAGAUCUGGAGGAAUACCGGUGGCGAAGGCGGCCCCCUGGACAAAGACUGACGCUCUGUGCGAAAG